UUGCGGUUAUAUGAUGUUGCAACAUUGGUUCCCGUACGAUCACCAAGGUUAAGCAACUUCGAACUUGAUCAGUACUUUGAUGGGUAACCGCUUGGAAAUACCAGGUAC